rnacentral:misc_RNA from 1 species
CAACAACCUGUUGCCAUGUAUUGCGAUUUGUAUCAGUCACAAGCACACAACCCCUUCUAGUAUUAAUGAUGUUUAAAACGUUCUACACGUACGGCGGACCGCAUCCGUCGCAAGCACGCGCAUAUAACCCCCAAAUGCACCAUGAUGAGAAGCACAGCCACGCGUCAAAAAACUUUAAAAACAUCGUUAUCCAAUAUUAAAAACCACACCGAAAUUUACACAGGUGGCACGUUACCGUGUUAGUGUCACCCACUGUACACAAGGCGUGUCGUAUAUGUAGUAUAGGUAUUUGAUGAGGCGGAAGCAUAUCCCGCUUCCAGCGAACGGAAAUAAGGAUCAUCCGUUCCAGCAUUUAUUCAAAGGGGGCACAGAGGGUUCACAUUGUUUAGAGAGAGUUUUUCUUAGUAACCAUUCCAUACUUUGGCAGUAUUGGCCUACGAUUUGGGCGACGUUUCAGGCUGGUCUAUUCUCCGUCCACUUUUCCCCGGCUAUUCUAUCCCAGCAUAGGCUCUUGAAAUAAACAAUGUUUACCGAGUAAAA